rnacentral:lncRNA from 1 species
AGGGAUUGAAGGAUCAAAUCCAUUUGCAAUUCUUUUUGCAUAUCAAGCUCGAGCUUCCUAAGCUCCUUAAUGUCCUUGAUCACUGUCAUACAGUGCUCAUGGACAGACUGCCCCUCACGUAUCUUGAGGUUGAAGAGUCUCUUAGAUAUUUUGAAGCAUGUAGUAUGGCUUUGCUCACCAUACAACUCUUACAGAUGAGUGAUCAUAGCUCGGGUAGUGGACAUAUGCUCGUACUGACUCUGCAACUCGUUUGACAUAGACGCCAGCACAUAACACUUGAGCCGACUAUCUUCAUCCGUCCACUUCUCAAAAGUAGUUUUCUACUGAGCAGUAGGACGGUUUGAUAACACAACGA